CUCUCCCACCUCACUCAUCCCUCCCCCCUGAGUUCUCUCCGCUCUCCCCAAACCCAAUUCCUCCUCCACUUCCCAAAUCCCAGCGAGAACCGCUGCCUGCCGACGGCGACGGCGCGCCGAGCAGCUGCCGGCCUCCACUUCCCCAGAUCGGCCGGUUCUCCCACGAGCUCCCGUCCGCCACCACCCAGCAGAACCCGUCACCAGGUAAGUCCGCCGUCCUCAUAGGGGAGAGCGGCGGCGAAGAACCCGCUUCCUCUUCGUGAGGCUUCGAUGGCCACGAGAGCUUUGAGGGAGGUGGUGGGGAGGAGGAGGGCCGGAGCGGCGGGGAUUGGAGGGAGCAGACGCUUCUCCGACAGCGCCGCCGCCGCCGCCGCUGCUGCUCCGGCGGGGGCGGUGGAGAAGGGGGACGGGGGAGGGGGGAAGGCGGUGAACCUCUUCACCGCCGUCAACCAGGCGCUCCACAUCGCGCUCGACACCGACCCGCGCUCUUAUGUCUUUGGAGAGGAUGUGGGUUUUGGGGGCGUCUUUCGCUGCACAACAGGGCUAGCUGAUCGAUUUGGGAAACAACGAGUAUUCAAUACACCAUUGUGUGAACAGGGUAUUGCCGGAUUUGCUAUUGGCUUAGCAGCAAUGGGAAAUAGAGCUAUUGCCGAAAUCCAGUUUGCAGAUUAUAUCUUUCCAGCAUUUGAUCAGAUCGUCAACGAAGCAGCAAAAUUCAGAUACCGAAGUGGAAAUGAAUUUAACUGUGGAGGUUUAACAAUUCGAUCUCCAUAUGGUGCUGUUGGACAUGGCGGUCACUACCAUUCACAGUCACCAGAAGCUUUUUUCUGCCAUGUUCCUGGCCUGAAGGUUGUCAUACCUCGAAGUCCACGUGAGGCCAAGGGACUGUUGCUGGCCAGCAUUCGUGACCCAAACCCAGUCAUCUUUUUCGAGCCAAAGUGGCUGUACCGUUUGUCUGUUGAGGAAGUCCCUGAGGGAGACUAUAUGCUGCCUUUAUCUCAGGCAGAAGUAAUUCGCAAAGGAAGUGAUAUAACACUUAUUGGUUGGGGAGCUCAACUUGCAGUGCUGGAACAAGCAUGUGAAGAUGCUUCAAAGGACGGAAUUUCUUGCGAGCUCAUUGAUCUAAGAACGCUAAUUCCAUGGGACAAGGAAACAGUUGAGGCCUCUGUCAGCAAGACCGGAAAGCUUCUUAUUAGUCAUGAGGCCCCGAUCACCGGAGGGUUUGGUGCGGAAAUCGCUGCAUCCAUUGCUGAGCGCUGCUUCCAGAGGUUAGAAGCCCCUGUCGCGAGGGUCUGCGGCCUCGACACCCCUUUCCCUCUUGUUUAUGAACCAUUCUACAUGCCCACAAAGAACAAGAUCCUGGAUGCUAUUAAAGCAACUGUAAAUUACUGAGGUUGGUGCAGGAGAGCAGCAAGCUGGUAUAUAUUGCUGUAUGUGGAAACUGCCAUUAUGUAUGUAUGUGUAUAAGUGACUAUAUAUUGCUGGUCCGUGGCCUAAAUGUGCAUCCAGAAACCAGUUUGUAGAGAGAGAGAAGAAAAACAAGUUAAAGGCUGAUGAAGCAUUCCUUUAUAGAAAGCCGUCGUAAUUGUAAAAGGAAAAUUGGUAUCUUCCAUUAAAACAAUUUCAUUACCACAGGGAAA